UAUUGCACAAUGGGCGAAAGCCUGAUGCAGCAACGCCGCGUGAGGGAUGACGGCCUUCGGGUUGUAAACCUCUUUUAGUAGGGAAGAAGCGAAAGUGACGGUACCUGCAGAAUAAGUACCGGCUAACUACGUACCAGCAGCCGCGGUAAUACGUAGGGUGCAAGCGUUGUCCGGAAUUAUUGGGCGUAAAGGGCUCGUAGGCGGUUUGUCGCUUCUGCUGUGAAAUCCCGAGGCUCAACCUCGGGCUUGCGGUGGGUACGGGCAGACUAGAGUGCGGUAGGGGAGAUUGGAAUUCCUGGUGUAGCGGUGGAAUGCGCAGAUAUCAGGAGGAACACCGAUGGCGAAGGCAGAUCUCUGGGCCGUAACUGACGCUGAGGAGCGAAGGCGUGGGGAGCGAACAGG
rnacentral:rRNA from 1 species